rnacentral:rRNA from 1 species
GAUGAACGCUAGCGGCAGGCUUAAUACAUGCAAGUCGUGGGGCAGCAAGUUUGUAGCAAUACAGAUGCUGGCGACCGGCAAACGGGUGCGGAACACGUACAGAACCUUCCUUUGAGCGGGGAAUAGCCCAGAGAAAUUUGGAUUAAUACCCCAUAGUAUAAUGAAGUGGCAUCACUUUAUUAUUAAGAUUUAUCACUCGAAGAUGGCUGUGCGGCUGAUUAGGUAGUUGGCGGGUAAAGGCCCACCAAGCCUGCGAUCAGUAACUGGUGUGAGAGCACGACCAGUCACACGGGCACUGAGACACGGGCCCGACUCCUACGGGAGCAGCAGUAAGGAAUAUUGGUCAAUGGAGGCAACUCUGAACCAGCCAUGCCGCGUGGAGGAUGAAGGUCCUCUGGAUUGUAAACUUCUUUAUAUGGACGAAAAAAGGCUUUUCUAAGUCGUCUGACGGUACCAUAUGAAUAAGCACCGGCUAACUCCGUGCCAGCAGCCG